CAUCAAGAAGCUACACAGCGUUAACCUUUUAAGUUAAAGACUGGGAGUAUUAUCCUCUCCUUGAUGA
rnacentral:tRNA from 1 species